UUUCCGUAUGUGAACCUGCGGAAGGAUCAUUAACACGUAUUAAAUUCUAUCAAACUAACCUGAGAACUUGUAUCUGCCAAAGACGCUUGAACCUCGCCAGAGGAUCGCUGAUCUGAGGCCCAAUCAAACUUAAACUAUUGAAGUCUGCUAGGGGUCAAAGAACUCCUACUUGCUUUUGUCCUUCCGGGCAAAGGUACUUGUGGAUGGUGUUCUCCUUAGUUAGUCUUCUUUAGGCUUAUCCACACGCCGGAGUACUCAUUCCUCGGAAUGGCGAAACAUAGUGCCACUCUUUCAUUUCCCGUUCCUUGUAAGCUACUUUUACCAGGAGCUGGCCUCUUUUACUUCGACAGAGAUUUCAAAUGGCGAUCAGCUUUGUUUAGCCCGCCUGCUUGGUCGAUAGAAUGAUGCUAGCUUUUGAAGUAGCCCAGGUUGAACUUAACCCUAGUAUAGAUCACCUAUAUUAGAGUAACAUAUAAAAUAAGAGAACAACUCUUAGCAAUGGAUAUCUUGGUUCUC
rnacentral:misc_RNA from 1 species